CACAAGCUUGGUCCUGACUUUAGUGUCAGCUUUGAUAAAAUUUAUACAUGCAAGUAUCCGCACUCCCGUGAGAAUGCCCUGUUUUACCAGAAUCAACGGAAAACAGGAGCUGGUAUCAGGCACAAUCCCUUUAGCCCACGACACCUUGCUAAGCCACACCCCCACGGGCAACCCAGCAGUAAUAAACAUUAAGCCAUGAGUGAAAACUCGACUUAGUUAACAUCAAGCAGGGCCGGUUAAACUCGUGCCAGCCACCGCGGUUAUACGAGAGGCCCGAGUUGACACAAGCCGGCGUAAAGAGUGGUUAAUAGAAUAAAAACUAAAGCCGAACACCUUCAAGACCGUUAUACGCACCCGAAGGCAGGAAGACCCCCAACGAAAGUGGCUUUAACUAGCAUGAAACCACGAAAGCUACGACACAAACUGGGAUUAGAUACCCCACUAUGCGUAGCCCUAAACACAGAUGUAUCACCACCCCGAACAUUCGCCAGGGAACAACGAGCCCCAGCUUAAAACCCAAAGGACUUGGCGGUGCUUUAGACCCCCCUAGAGGAGCCUGUUCUAGAACCGAUACUCCCCGUUCAACCUCACCCCCUCUUGUCUUUCCCGCCUAUAUACCGCCGUCGUCAGCUUACCCUGUGAAGGGCCAACAGUAAGCAAAAUUGGCACAGCCCAAAACGUCAGGUCGAGGUGUAGCGCACGAGGGGGGAAGAAAUGGGCUACAUUUACUGUCCCAGUAAACACGAAUAUUGCACUGAAAUGAGCAUUUGAAGGAGGAUUUAGCAGUAAGGGGAGAACAGAGAGCCCCCCUGAAAAUGGCCCUUAAGCGCGCACACACCGCCCGUCACUCUCCCCGACGCAAACUUGACCCAUAAAUAAUAAAAACCAUACAACAAGGGGAGGCAAGUCGUAACAUGGUAAGUGUACCGGAAGGUGCACUUGGAAAAACC
rnacentral:ncRNA from 1 species